CUAGUUGUUGCUGUGCUAGUCACCGCAGUAAUGCAGCUAACGCAUUAAGUGUACCGCCUGGGGAGUACGGUCGCAAGAUUAAAACUCAAAGGAAUAGACGGGGACCCGCACAAGCGGUGGAGCAUGUGGUUGAAUUCGACGAUACGCGAAGAACCUUACCUGGACUUGACAUCCUAUAAAUGAUUUAGAGAUAAGUUAGUGCUAGUUUACUAGAAUAUAGUGACAGGUGCUGCACGGCUGUCGUCAGCUCGUGUCGUGAGAUGUUGGGUUAAGUCCCGCAACGAGCGCAACCCUCGUCGUUAGUUGCUAACAGUUCGGCUGAGCACUCUAACGAGACUGCCUUCGUAAGGAGGAGGAAGGUGAGGACGACGUCAAGUCAUCAUGGCCCUUAUGUCCAGGGCUACACACGUGCUACAAUGGCCAGGACAAUGAGACGCAAUACCGCGAGGUGGAGCAAAUCUAUAAACCUGGUCUCAGUUCGGAUAGCACUCUGCAACUCGAGUGCUUGAAGCUGGAAUCGCUAGUAAUCGUAGAUCAGCAAUGCUACGGUGAAUACGUUCCCGGGUCUUGUACUCACCGCCCGUCACACCAUGGGAAUUUAGUUCACCCGAAGUCGGAAUGCCAAACUGGCUACCGCCCACGGUGGGCUCAGUAACUGGGGUGAAGUCGUAACAAGGUA
rnacentral:rRNA from 1 species